CUACGGGCGGCACCAGUGAGGAAUAUUGCACAAUGGGGGGAACCCUGAUGCAGCAACGCCGCGUGGAGGAUGACGCAUUUCGGUGUGUAAACUCCUUUUAUAUGUCAAGAAAAUGACGGUAGCAUAUGAAUAAGCACCGGCUAACUCCGUGCCAGCAGCCGCGGUAAUACGGAGGGUGCAAGCGUUACUCGGAAUCACUGGCGUAAAGGACGCGUAGGCGGGUUGGAAAGUCAGGUGUGAAAUCCUACAGCUUAACUGUAGAACUGCACUUGAAACUUCUAAUCUAGAGUAUGGGAGGGGGAGAUGGAAUUAGUGGUGUAGGGGUAAAAUCCGUAGAUAUCACUAGGAAUACCUAAAGCGAAGGCGAUCUCCUGGAACAUUACUGACGCUAAGGCGUGAAAGCGUGGGGAGCAAACAGGAUUAGAUACCCGAGUAGUC
rnacentral:rRNA from 1 species